rnacentral:rRNA from 1 species
AUUGAACGCUGGCGGCAUGCUUUACACAUGCAAGUCGAACGGCAGCGCGGGCUUCGGCCUGGCGGCGAGUGGCGAACGGGUGAGUAAUACAUCGGAACGUGCCCAGUAGUGGGGGAUAGCUCGGCGAAAGCCGGAUUAAUACCGCAUACGACCUGAGGGUGCAAGCGGGGGAUCUUCGGACCUCGCGCUAUUUGAGCGGCCGAUGGCAGAUUAGCUAGUUGGUGGGGUAAAGGCCUACCAAGGCGACGAUCGGUAGCUGGUCUGAGAGGACGACCAGCCACACUGGGACUGAGACACGGCCCAGACUCCUACGGGAGGCAGCAGUGGGGAAUUUUGGACAAUGGGCGAAAGCCUGAUCCAGCAAUGCCGCGUGUGUGAUGAAGGCCUUCGGGUUGUAAAGCACUUUUGGCGGGAACGAAAAGGACUGUGCCAAUACCACGGUUCGAUGACGGUACCCGCAGAAUAAGCACCGGCUAACUACGUG